rnacentral:rRNA from 1 species
AUACGUAGGUGGCAAGCGUUGUCCGGAAUUACUGGGUGUAAAGGGAGCGUAGGCGGGGAUGCAAGUCAAAUGUUAAAACUAUCGGCUCAACUGGUAAGUGCGUUUGAAACUGCAUUUCUUGAGUGAAGUAGAGGCAGGCGGAAUUCCUAGUGUAGCGGUGAAAUGCGUAGAUAUUAGGAGGAACACCAGUGGCGAAGGCGGCCUGCUGGGCUUUUACUGACGCUGAGGCUCGAAAGUGUGGGGAGCAAACAGGAUUAGAUACCCUGGUAGUCCACACUGUAAACGAUGAAUGCUAGGUGUAGGGGGUAUCGACCCCUUCUGUGCCGCAGUCAACACAAUAAGCAUUCCGCCUGGGGAGUACGGCCGCAAGGUUGAAACUCAAAGGAAUUGACGGGG